UUGGUAAGGUAACGGCUUACCAAGGCAACGAUCUCUAGCUGUUCUGAGAGGAAGAUCAGCCACACUGGGACUGAGACACGGCCCAGACUCCUACGGGAGGCAGCAGUGGGGAAUAUUGCACAAUGGGGGAAACCCUGAUGCAGCCAUGCCGCGUGUGUGAAGAAGGCCUUCGGGUUGUAAAGCACUUACAGUUGUGAGGAAAGGUUGGUAGUUAAUACCUGCCAGCUGUGACGUUAACAACAGAAGAAGCACCGGCUAACUCCGUGCCAGCAGCCGCGGUAAUACGGAGGGUGCGAGCGUUAAUCGGAAUUACUGGGCGUAAAGCGCACGCAGGCGGUUUGUUAAGCUAGAUGUGAAAGCCCCGGGCUCAACCUGGGAUGGUCAUUUAGAACUGGCAGACUAGAGUCUUGGAGAGGGGAGUGGAAUUCCAGGUGUAGCGGUGAAAUGCGUAGAAGUAUGGAGGAACAUCAGUGGCGAAGGCGGCUCCCUGGCCAAAGACUGACGCUCAUGUGCGAAAGUGUGG
rnacentral:rRNA from 1 species